AAUAACGUGGGGCCUGGAGCAGGUGUUGUCCUCCUUAAAAGACAACUUGCAGCCCGUCAACCAAUUUCUUCCCAUCUGGAAGGGAGAAGGCAGCCCUCCUUGGUCCAGCGUGAGUGGGGCUGCAGAGGAACUGGGGCACAUAAGCCAGAAAGCAAAACCUGCUUACCUAUCUAGAGAAAUCCGUGGGUUUUACAAUAAAGGAGUAGAAGAAACUGGUUUCUCCCAGCAGGCCCAGGAAUCCAGAUACCAUCAGGAAUGGCAGUAUGACAGUUGCCAGAGGAGAAAGGCGACCCUUCUAUUCCUCACCUCCCAUCCCUGAGCCUCCGACCUAGCUGAGAGUCCAGGAGUCCACCGGUUGGGGCUUUAGAUGCAUUGAGUCCAAGCACGGUGAGCUGAUCUUCCAGCCUAUGGAAGAGAUCUCUUGAAGGUCUGGACUGGUUUGAUUCUGGGCUGCAAGAGACCUGUAACUGCUGGGCUGCUGUUUUUCCUGAUAUGAAGCCUAUUCUUUAGAGGAUGUCCUCCAAGGAUUGUCUGAACAUGUCGAUAUCUGCCAUCCUGCACGGACGACUCUUCCAACUUGAAUUUGAUUUUUUUCAGACUCCAGGAGCCCCAAUGAAUUAAAAAAAAAAAGUUGUUUGAGCAUUCAAAAAUGGCAUAUUUUGAAGAAUCUUUGUGGCUAUUUUAACCUUUUGUUAGAAGGAAACCUACAUGUUGAAACUUGAAGGAGGGCCAAGGAUGUAUGUGACUUGUUUAGGAUUGUGGAGGUAAAGAGGACCCAGACAGGCACUCUAUACCAGCUCCCUGAUCACUGGUUGGCACUUUUUCUCUUCACUAUAUCGCCAGUGCUGUUUAAGACAGAAUGUCUGUCCUGGAUUGGAAAAAUAUCUCUGCUUCUUCCCACCCAAGUUGGGUUCUCUGCCCACUGCAAGACAUGCCAAUAGUCAGGAGGCGAGGUGGUAGGGGAGAAAGGCUUUCUUUUUUAUAGCUUGCUAGUAAGAGGGAAGAUGGCCAACUCAUGUCCGAAAGAGCUAUCUUACAGAACAAAGACUGUCGGCCAGUUAUAUAUGGGGCUGGUUUCCGGGUGGGGGCAGACAUGUGGUUUUAGUUUCUGAUAGUCCUUUUGUUUUACCGGAUAACCACAUCAGAGACAGGAACAAUGCCCUACACCCUGAUCUUUCAGUUGUCAUUGAUGGCUAUCAGCAUAGGCUCUCUUUCCCAGAAGGUCAUCACAUUCCUAGAGAACUCAAAAGAACAAAGUUAUCAUCUUAUCACAGUUGGGAGGGGCCACAAAAUCUACAGAGCAUGUCUGGGCUAGUUAAUCAGAGGUCAUUUAAAAAGUUACUAUAUGGUUUCUUUUCUACAGUAUGGUUUCCCUCAUGUCAACCUUGUGUUGAGCUGGUAUCACGCUGAGGUGUUAAUCAUUUGGAGGAGCUUUCUA
rnacentral:lncRNA from 1 species